UUUGUUUUAUUUUUUAUUUACAUGUAAAUUAAAGUAAGAAUAUAAAUUUAAUUUAAAUAAUUAUUUUUAGUAUUAUUAUUCGCAGUAUAAAGUUUUAUUAAUUUAAGAAAUUAAGAAUUAUAAAUAAAUUAUAGUAUUGACUAAAUUUGUGCCAGCAGUUGCGGUUAUACAAAAAAUACAAAUAAAUUUUAUUGAUUAAUAAUUAAAUUAUUUUAUUUUAAUUAAAAUUAAUUUUAUAAGGUGAAAUUUAAAAAUUAAAAUAGUUAUUAAAUAAGAUAUUGAUUUUAUGAAAUUUAAAAAUUAAACUAGGAUUAGAUACCCUAUUAUUUUAAAUGUAAAUUUUUAAUCAAAGUAGUAUUAGUUAUGAUCUUGAAAUUUAAAAAUUUUGGCGGUAUUUUAGUCUAUUUAGAGGAACCUGUUCUAUAAUUGAUAGUCCACGAUAAACAGUACUUUAUUUAAUUAAUUUGUAUAUCAUCGUUAUAAGAUAUUUUAAAAGAAUUUAAAUAUUUAAUAUUUUUCAUUAAAAUAUAUUUCAGAUCAAGGUGCAGUUUAUAAUAAAGAAGAAAUGGGUUACAAUAAAAUUAUUUAAGCGGAUUUAUUUAUUAAAAUGGUAAUGAAGAUGGAUUUAAUAGUAAUAAAAUUUAUAUAAAUUUUAUGAUUUUAGCUCUAAAAUGUGUACAUAUCGCCCGUCGCUCUUAUUAUAAGAUAAGAUAAGUCGUAACAAAGUAGAUUUACUGGAAAGUGAAUCUAGAAAGUC
rnacentral:ncRNA from 1 species